UACGUAGGAGGCGAGCGUUGUCCGGAAUCACUGGGCGUAAAGCGCGUGUAGGCGGGAAGGCAAGUCUGCUGUGAAAGCGCCUGGCUUAACCGGGCGAGGUCGGCGGAAACUGUCUGGCUAGAGUCCGGAAGAGGAGAGUGGAAUUCCUGGUGUAGCGGUGAAAUGCGUAGAUAUCAGGAGGAACACCGGUGGUGUAGACGGCUCACUGGACCGUAACUGACGCUGAGACACGAAAGCGUGGGUAGCAAACAGG
rnacentral:rRNA from 1 species